GGGCCGAGCCGGGCUGCGAUGGGCGGAGCGGCCUCGCUGCGAGGAAUGACAAGGGGAAGUGAAAAAAAAAAAAACACAACCUAAAACAAAAAACAUCCCACAAACAAAAAAAAGUCCACAUACAGGGAGGAAAGGGAAAAAAAGCCCGAAAAAGGCAAUGUUGAGCGCUCCGGCGCUGCCCGCCGGGGGGGCCGUCAGGACAUCCCCCGGGCCCAGGCAGGGUGGGUAUCAGGGGCACGGUGGGAAGGCCGGUGCUGGGCUCCAGGGGACAGCCCAGAGGCGCAGCGAUCCCCCCUGCUGCUCCCCUCUCCUGAUUUGGGCCGGGAUCGCAGCUGCAGCCGCAGCUCUGACCCCUUGCCAUAAAUGUACCGCUGCAGCCCUGGCCAGGGGCAGCACUCCCGAGGCGCAGGGAAAAAGCAGCGUGUGAGCGGCACAGCCAGCCUGGUGCCAUCGCAUCCCGCAUCCCCGCACUGCCGCGUCCCUUAUUCCCCGGGCGGAAUCCCCCGGGCGGAACCCCCGGGCGGAACCCCCGGGCUCCCCCUGCACGGCCCAAGAGCAGAGGGACUCGGGAAUGGCCAGGGCGAUGCCUGACUCUGCUCUGACCCUCUUGCUCCCUGCUGUCCCAGCGCCUGCUUCGCCCUGCGGAGACACUGCAUCCUGUCCUGCUGCUCCGUCUCUUCUAUUUAAACCGAGUGCUUGCAACAGUACAUCUCACGAGUGAGCUGCGUACCAGGGUCCUGAGUUUGUUUGACAUGAACAAGAAAAGAGCAAAUGAAGAACUGAGCCCUGAAUUUGUUUGACAUGAACAGGGAAAGAGCAAAUUAACAACUGAGCAUCUUGGGCAAGGGUAAAAUGACAGAUUUGCUGUUUGCCUUGUUAUAUUCUUCAAACACAGUAAUACUCCUUUAUUUUAAAAAACCCUGCCAUCUGCCGAAAUAGAUGAGAAGUCUGCCAUGCCUGUAUUCUUAUAUGCUGAUAUGUACUAUAAAGAUGUUCAAAAUAUAUAUUUAUCUUUAUAAAGAUACUUCCUUCAGAUAUUGUCCUUCAGACCACAGAAAAUCUUUCCCUUUAGCAGUAGUGUGACUCAUGUCCAGUUUGUGCAGCUUGCUUAGUUUUCAGAUAACUCCUUAUUUUCACUGCUCAGAAGGGAUUUUUUUCUCCCCACUAUUAAAACAUUUCAUAUUAGGCUGAUUUGUGGGAGUUUUUUCCCCUCUCUUUUAAGGAAGUUGGGGUUAUUUACUUUCUAGCAUUUCCUCUAUGAAAUGAUUGUGACCCUUUAUCACUGUUUUGUUGAUCUUAAUCUGCUUAACUCAAGCCCAUGGAUAUGACACGAAUGUCAAUCUCAGUUACACGUGUUCUUUUCUGCUGACUUUUAUAAAAGCAUUUUUUGAGGUGAAGUAGGUUUCUGUGCAUGUCUGUUUUCCACCUCACUUCAAAGCACCUUCAUCAUCUUGUUUUUGAGGGGCCCAUUUCAUAUUCUGAAAUCCUUUUCUAUAGGAUCUCAACCAGACCUAAAAGAGAUCUCUUCACUAGCUGGGUCAUCAUCACCUCUCACCUUCUCUUUCCUACUACUGUGUUUCACUGUUUGCUUGGUUUGUGUUCCUCUUUCAGUCUUCUUCAUUAUUUAAUUAAUAUUCAAAUUCCAGUCUCCCAUAUUUUUUUCUUAAUAAAGCACCACCACAUUUUGUUUUUUGAGUUUCUUACAUCUAGUUGGAGUUUAAGUGUGAGCACUCGGCUGUUUUUUUCCUCUGCUUCAGGUUCAGCCUUCAAAAGAUUAUCACACACUAGUGUCUCACCAUCUCAGUAGGAGUCCAACUCUUAAUUCCUUCUUGUCCUUUAAUUCCCACAGGCAGGCAUUUCAACCAAUUUUAAUCAUUAUUACUCCUGAGGAAAACAGAGAUCUCGUGUUUGGCAUGGCCAGCAAGCUGUCUUGUUGGAAUACAGAAGGAUUGCCAUCUUUAGACAUCUGCUUUGGAGUCUCUUAUGUUUCAUGGAUUUGUAAGUUAGCUCCUAAUUGGUGAAUGUGUUUUUCCAUGUAGUCAGUUAUGGUAAAUUCAGCCUCAAAGUGUUGACACCACAGCCUGUGUGGCUGAAAUAUUUCUUCUCUGGUUGUAUUUGCCAAAUGAGCCUAUGCCUGCCACUCUGCCUGGGAUUUCUAGUCCUUCUUCCUCACAGUCCAUGAGGUUUGUGAAUGAGCGGGAUCAAUUCUGGCAUGCAGUAGUGGUUUAUUAUUGGUGCUGGGAUCCCUGACGUGGGAAGUAUGCUGUGCAGAACUCCAUGAUAUCAGAAGGCAAAUUAAUUACUUUAUUAUACUAUAUUAUACUAAAACUAUAUUACACUAACAAGAACUAUCACUAACUAGAAAACCCCUUACUCUCUCUGCCGAGAGUCCUGACACACACAUGGAUCCAACUGGUCAAUCAAUCCAAAACACUGUCACCAGUCUCCCAUUGAGAAAUCGCCUUGUGUAAGCAAUCUUCAUAACACUUUCCACAUGUGCACAACAACCAGUGCAGUGAGAUAAGAAUUGUUUUGAUUCUCUUUUCUCUGCUUCUCUCACAGCUUCUCUCAGGAGAAAUCCUGAGAAAUUUAAAUCUCUCUCUAUUCAGAGGACAUGUGAAUACAACAUUUUAUUCCUGCCAGCAAACUUUCGAUGGCCAUGACUCCCACAGCUUUCCCCAGGAGCUCUCACAUGCCCAAGAGGUCAGCAGUACCAAGUGGGCACUUUUACAAAAAGCCUGUUUCCUUACCCAGUUGUUUUUACUGGGCUGAUUGUCAUUUCUCUGUGCUUUUUCCAGGCUCAGGGCCAGGCAGUUGUGUGCUGACAGGACAGGUCCCUUAUUUUUUCCUACACUCAUCAGUCAGCCUGUGUGAUGUGCUUAUAGAGCAAAUGCAAAUGCACCAAGGCAAGGGCUACUCUUUUGUUCCACUCUUGUGGAGAUAAUUUUGUCUGUCUUCCACUCUACAGUUAUACUGUUUUUUUCUAAGAUCAAUAAUACAUGUUAUUAUAAUGGAAUCAAAGAAAAGACUUUGCUGUUUCUCCAGCAAUAGUCUUGGUUGUACCUUAAGUGAAUAAGAAAUAUAUUUUCCAGAGUUAGAACUCUAUUUCUAGAGCUACAAAGCUGAAAUGUAUAGUUCAGAGCCAUAAAAGAUUUGCAUGAUCUUUAAAACAAAUAUGAAGGGCUAUCUAUCAUCCUUGAAGAACAUGCUGAAGCAUCAAACAUGAAAACAGUCAUGGUAGAUUUUAAAUCUAAAAUGUUAAAUGAGUUUAUGACAAAAGAACAUGUGCUGAAGAACAAGACACACAGAGGGGAAGACAAAGGUAACUCUGCUCAGCAUUUCAAUACCUGUCUUCUAGACUUUGGCUCCUGGGGCUUCAAGGUGUUUUAGACAGUUCAGGCCUCUCUUUACAGUACCUGAGAGACAAAUUGAUACCAAGAAAAGGGGUUCUCAAGUGCCAACAAAGGGACUGUGCAGACACCAGAGAGUGUCAGUAAAGGCUCUCUUGCUCCAGGGUUGCCUUGGCCAUUUGUGCUACAUAAUUUUUCCCUGUGUCUUGUGCCUGAACUAUUUCCUUGUAGUUAAUGUCUGAAUUUGUUCCAAGGCCAAAGAGAGAUCACUCUUUUCUUUUAAAAAGAAAAGAAAUGGAAGAAGCUUUUUUUUCAUACAGCAGCUCCAUUGUAAUAGACCAUUCAGCCAUGACACAGAGAAUCUGAGCCUUUCUCUGCCUGGGCACACAUUUCUUGUAGCCCUCUGACUUUCCCAACAUAGCAAUAGCAAGGAAUCACAGAGACUCAGGAGGAGUUACUGCUACAAAGACAAGAAAAGUGAAGCCAGGGAGACACUGCCUAAUACUUGAGAACCAGAAAGUAACAUUAACCAGAAUGCUCUGAGGAAAGGACCACACUGAGUAAGAAAAAAAAAAGUGGAAAAAUUGAAUUCCUUUCAGCCUUAUUAGUCUAAAGUGUGAACUGGAACUGAAUCUGGGGCUAUUUAAAGUAUCCAUCCUAUCUAAUAUAAAAUGCCCUCUGAGACGCCAGGGAGUUGUACUGCACUGCCUGGGAACUGUGCAUUGAGUAACAGUGGAAUUACUCAAGAUGGGAAUUGGUCUUUUGAAAAGGAUUUGCCAACUUCUGCCAUUGUUCAGCAAUGUAAGCAUAUAUGGAACAUAGGAAUUAUCCUGCAGUAUUUCAGCAUUUAAAAAUUUCAGUGUUCUAAAGGAUCUUGGCAUUUCUGAGAGGAACUGACCAGAGCAUAACUUUACUUCAGCUGAACUCUAGCAUUUGUGAAGGAUGACCUGCUAAAUAAAGUUAAUUUCUCAUUUCAGAUUUACAGCCAAACAAAUCACUUCUUACCCAGUGCCAUUAGCAAUGCUAUUAAAAAAAAAAAAAAAAUAAAAAGAAAGCACUCUUAUUUCUAAUAGCACUUGCUCAGAGAUUAUUCCCUAAUAUUUUCUGUUUAUUUCUUCUACUUUUAAUAUGCUGUUUAUUUAUUCCU
ensembl:lncRNA